AGUGAACGCUGGCGGUAGGCCUAACACAUGCAAGUCGAACGGCAGCACAGUAAUAGCUUGCUCUUACGGGUGGCGAGUGGCGGACGUGUGAGGUAUACAUCGGAAUCUACUUUUUCGUGGGUGAUAACGUAGGGAAACUUACGCUAAUACCGCAUACGCCCUUCGGGUGAAAGCAUUGGUUCUUCGGACCUUUCGCGUUUGUUUUAGCCGAUGUCGGAUUAGCUAGUUGGCGGGGUAAUGGCCCACCAAGGCGACGAUCCGUAGCUGGUCUGAGAGGAUGAGCAGAGACACUGGAACUGAGACACGGACAAGAGUACUACGGGAGGAAGCAGUGGGGAAUAGUGGACAAUGGGCGCAAGCAUGAUCCAGCAAUACCGAGUGGGUGAAGAAGGACUUCGGGUUGUAAAGACCUUUUGUUGGGAAAGAAAAGAAGCAGGUUAAUACCCCGCUGUUGUGACGGUACCCAAAGAAUAAGCACCGGCUAACUUCGUG
rnacentral:rRNA from 1 species